rnacentral:rRNA from 1 species
ACACUCCUGCGGGAGGCAGCAGUGGGGAAUUUUGGACAAUGGGCGAAAGCCUGAUCCAGCAAUGCCGCGUGAGUGAAGAAGGCCUUCGGGUUGUAAAGCUCUUUUGUCAGGGAAGAAACGGUGAGAGCUAAUAUCUCUUGCUAAUGACGGUACCUGAAGAAUAAGCACCGGCUAACUACGUGCCAGCAGCCGCGGUAAUACGUAGGGUGCAAGCGUUAAUCGGAAUUACUGGGCGUAAAGCGUGCGCAGGCGGUUUUGUAAGUCUGAUGUGAAAUCCCCGGGCUCAACCUGGGAAUUGCAUUGGAGACUGCAAGGCUAGAAUCUGGCAGAGGGGGGUAGAAUUCCACGUGUAGCAGUGAAAUGCGUAGAUAUGUGGAGGAACACCGAUGGCGAAGGCAGCCCCCUGGGUCAAGAUUGACGCUCAUGCACGAAAGCGUGGGGAGCAAACAGGAUUAGAUACCCUGGUAGUCCC